AAGAACACCUUGAAUUUGCCACUCUUUCCAAACCACCCACUGAUGAUUCCUUCUUCACCGCGAUCCGUGAAUACUUUCAUGCCUUGGAACAUAGACAGGUCGGUUUCCCUUUUGAACAUUCCUUUGCAGAUUGCAGAUUUGUCAUCCUGUAGCCGUUCUAUCACACCUUCCCUCCUUUUUAGUUUGAAAACUUUGAUGCACCUCAUUGCGCUUGUGUCUUGAUCAAAGGCGAAUGGCCGUAAGAUCUGGCCAUAGAAUGCUAAGCGGCAUGCGUUCUUCUGAAUAUCCGUGUCUAAACGCGAAGCAAUAUAUAAGCCCCCGGGAGGACAAACAACGGGGCGAUCAAAGAAAAGGAGUGCCCAGGUGGCAUUUUGAAGUGUCCUUUUAUUGCUCGCGACACUUACAGGUUUUAUAGAGGUGUCUACGAUUUCUUCCGAGUUUUGUUCAUGCAUGCCAGCAGCGUAUAACAGCUCUUCAUAAUAUGAGUAUUCCUUUUGUCCGUCAAACUCAG
rnacentral:lncRNA from 1 species